UACGUAGGGGGCAAGCGUUGUCCGGAUUUAUUGGGCGUAAAGAGCGUGUAGGCGGCCAGGUAGGUCCGUUGUGAAAACUAGAGGCUUAACCUCUAGACGUCGAUGGAAACCAUCUGGCUAGAGUCCGGAAGAGGAGAGUGGAAUUCCUGGUGUAGCGGUGAAAUGCGCAGAUAUCAGGAAGAACACCCGUGGCGAAGGCGGCUC
rnacentral:rRNA from 1 species